CCGCCAUUAGCUCAUCAGGAAGAGCAAGCGACCAUUUUAGUUGUAGGUGCGGGGUUCGAGACCCCGAUGGCGGUCCA
rnacentral:tRNA from 1 species